rnacentral:snRNA from 1 species
GGGAUCCCUCGCGGGUGCA